rnacentral:rRNA from 1 species
UACGAAGGGGGCUAGCGUUGCUCGGAAUCACUGGGCGUAAAGGGUGCGUAGGCGGGUCUUAAGUCAGGGGUGAAAUCCUGGAGCUCAACUCCAGAACUGCCUUUGAUACUGAAGAUCUUGAGUUCGGGAGAGGUGAGUGGAACUGCGAGUGUAGAGGUGAAAUUCGUAGAUAUUCGCAAGAACACCAGUGGCGAAGGCGGCUCACUGGCCCGAUACUGACGCUGAGGCACGAAAGCGUGGGGAGCAA